rnacentral:rRNA from 1 species
UACGGGGGGGGCAAGCGUUGUUCGGAAUUACUGGGCGUAAAGGGCUCGUAGGCGGCCAACUAAGUCGGACGUGAAAUCCCCAGGCUCAACCUGGGAACUGCGUCCGAUACUGGAUGGCUUGAAUUCGGGAGAGGGAUGCAGAAUUCCAGGUGUAGCGGUGAAAUGCGUAGAUAUCUGGAGGAAUACCGGUGGCGAAGGCGGCAUCCUGGACCAUUUACUGACGCUGAGGCGCGAAAGCUAGGGGAGCAAACGGG